UACGAAGGGGGCUAGCGUUGUUCGGAAUCACUGGGCGUAAAGCGCUCGUAGGCGGAUCUUUAGGUCAGGGGUGAAAUCCCGAGGCUCAACCUCGGAACUGCCUUUGAUACUGGGGAUCUCGAGUCCGGGAGAGGUGAGUGGAACUGCGAGUGUAGAGGUGAAAUUCGUAGAUAUUCGCAAGAACACCAGUGGCGAAGGCGGCUCACUGGCCCGGUACUGACGCUGAGGAGCGAAAGCGUGGGGAGCAAACAGG
rnacentral:rRNA from 1 species